UCUCAACAAGAAUCAUGUCAAAGUCAGAUUCACCCAAAUAUGUGACAGCACUGUUUUCCUUUAAAGGGAAAAACAAUGAUGAACUAUGUUUUAAGAAAGGAGAUGUGAUUACAAUAACCCAGACUGACGAGGAAGGUUGGUGGGAGGGUACGUUGCACGACAAAACAGGCUGGUUUCCAUCUAAUUAUGUGAAAGAGUGCAGAGUUCCAGACAGCGGUGUUUCCGCCGUUAAGGCCUCUCCAGAAAAGAUUCAGCAAGAAUCCCCUACUCAUCAGAAACUUAAUCGCGAUAUCGUGCUAAAGGAUAUAGUAGACUCUGAAAGAGUAAAUGUAGCAGAGUUGCAGGGUUUGAUAAAUAGCUUUUUACAUCCUCUAGAAUCUGCAAAUAUAUUGAGCAAAGAAGAAUAUAAGCAACUUUUAGGUAAUAUACAGGAAAUCAUGGAGGUACAUCAACGAUUGUUAAAUAAUUUGGAAACGACGAUGGCUCAAGGUUGCGCGUCGAGAGUUGGUAAUCUCUUUCUAACGCUUGCACCAAAAUUAAAGUCCAUACAUACAGCGUACUGUGGAAAUCAUCCACGGGCUGUGUGCGUUUUAGAUCGGUAUAGGGACGAAUUGAACGAUUUCAUGGAACGCAACGGAGCGAUAUCGCCUGGUAUAUUAGUAUUAACUACCGGUUUAAGCAAACCUUUUCGAAGACUAGACAAGUACUCGGCUAUGCUUCAAGAAUUGGAAAGGUAUACGGAGAAGAACCAUCCCGAUAGAGGCGAUACGCAACGUAGUAUAGUUGUAUAUAGAGAAAUAGCGGAUCGAUGCGCGUCCAUAAGAAAGCAACGAGAAUUGGCGCUGCAAGUGUUAACUAGCGGCAUCAAAGGAUGGGAGGGAGAAGAGCUAAGUUCGCUCGGGGAAAUUCUUUACGUUGGAUCCGUCACUAUAGCAAAUGGAACAAACGGGCUAGAUCGUCGGGAUAGAUAUUUUGUUCUUUUCCCUACGACGCUCUUGGUUCUCAGCACUAGCCCUAGGAUGAGUUCUUUCGUCUAUGAAGGAAAGCUUCCUUUGACGGGUAUCAACAUUAUUCGGAAAGAAGAUUCGGAAGAAAUAAGAAAUGCCUUUGAAAUUACAGGACCAAUGAUCGAGAGCAUACUCGUGCUUUGCACCAGCAAAGAAGAGCGGCAGCGUUGGAUCGAACUUUUGAUUCAAGAACAAACGGCGAGCAACAGUCUCGUGAAAUCGCCUACGACCUCACGUGUGAGUUCUUAUCUACCUCCGUACGCUCGUCUAUCGAGAUAUUUUGCAAAGUUAGUCAAGAAAAAGAUUAUACGUCCCGAGUUGCUGAAGAAACUGCUUUAUUUGCAAUACGUUCUGAAGCCGGACAUGAGUAACGUAAAAAUGCGGAGACCCAAUCUUACCACUUACGUUCUCUUUCCGAUGCGAACGAGUAGCGAGGAACGCGAAUCGAAUUGUUCGGAAAUAGACAGUUUCGAUACGAGCAAACUCAUGGAGAAACGAUCGCAUGUCGGGCCAACAAUGUUGCGUAAAUCUACCUUGACUCUAGACGUGAAAUACGCCUUAGGUAAUAUGGAUCUUAGCACUGUAGGAAUAGGAAAAGAUUCGUCGAGAGAAUUGGCAUCGGAGUCGGACAGUAUACAAGAAACUAGUAAAAGUUUACCCGUUACUGUUUUUAAUUCUGCUAGUGGUUGCAUCGACGCCGACAAUAGGAAUGAAACUGUCGGCGCCAAUGAUCGAUCACGAUUUACCAAUCAAUUUCCUCAUUCGUUUCCAAUCGUUGGUAACGUAGAUAAAGAACGCGUGAACGACGUUCUCACAGACAUAUGUUGGAAAAAUAAUGGACGCGUUCAAGAGCAACCUGUUAGCGCUGCUUCUAUCGAACAUCCGAUCGUUCUCACCCGUAAUUCCAACACCGAACAUCGAUUUCGAACGUCCACUCUGAGGAACAUCGAACUCGAUUCUCGCACGAACGUCAGCCUCGAUUCGUUGGAUUCGGGAAUGGACGAAAGCUAUCGAUUGAAUUCAUCCGAAAUUAAUUCAUCCUGCAAAUCGUAUAAGCGCGACACCGAAGGUCCUGCAAGGAAUUCAUACGGCGAAAGCGAGAACGACGAAGUGAAAUUCGAAUGUCAAUGCGUUUGCACGUCUCCGUUUGAUUCAACCCCUAGAGACAGCGCUCAUCUGUCCGAUUUAUCAAGAAACGUCGACAAUGUUCUGGAUACAUUGAUUUGCGACACGAGUGCUUCGAACGUAAGCUCUUCCACCCAACCUUCGUACCAGCUGAACGAAAUGCGGCUAGCAGAAAACGCGAUAUCUCUAGUUCCGGAUAAUUUUGAACGUGCAACGCAGCGAAGGUUUACGCAACCGAUACCGUAUUCGCAUCGGACCGACGUCGCAAGAAAAGUUGGAAGAAAAGCGGCACAGCCGAGUGGUCCGCUCGUCGUUGAAAACGAUUAUCCUGGAACGAGUGAAAUCUAUACAUCGGGACUGUACGUCCAUUGGUGGUUGAAGAAGUCCGUACCAUUGUCUGGAUGCACGGAACAAGAUUUGCAGUCAACCGAACGGGAAACUGCAACAACAGCCGCAACCGCAGCAGCAGCAGCAGCAGCAACCAAGAUCGACCGUGGAGCAUUGCACCCCCGUAGGAAUUAGAACACCGUGGAGUAUUGCCUCGUUACGACCAGCACCUCCUCUGUAUACUGUCAGAGCAUUUGAGGAAAAACAGUUUGAAGAGGACGCCAUUAUAUUGAAGGUGAUCGAGGCGUAUUGUCUGUCCGUCAAUGCUAGAUUUACCGUCCAUUCUGGAG